rnacentral:rRNA from 1 species
UACAGAGGUCUCAAGCGUUGUUCGGAUUCAUUGGGCGUAAAGGGUGCGUAGGCGGCGCGGUAAGUCGGGUGUGAAAUCUCCGGGCUUAACCCGGAAACUGCCAUUGAUACUAUCUGUCUUGAAUACCGUGGAGGUGAGCGGAAUAUGUCAUGUAGCGGUGAAAUGCUUAGAUAUGACAUAGAACACCAAUUGCGAAGGCAGCUCACUACGCGAAUAUUGACACUGAGGCACGAAAGCGUGGGGAUCAAACAGG